ACGGAAGGCAGCAGUGGGGAAUAUUGCACAAUGGGGGAAACCCUGAUGCAGCAACGCCGCGUGAGUGAUGAAGUAUUUCGAUAUGUAAAGCUCUAUCAGCAGGGAAGAUAAUGACGGUACCUGACUAAGAAGCCCCGGCUAACUACGUGCCAGCAGCCGCGGUAAUACGUAGGGGGCAAGCGUUAUCCGGAUUUACUGGGUGUAAAGGGAGCGUAGGUGGUAUGGUAAGUCAGAAGUGAAAACCCAGGGCUUAACCUUGGGAUUGCUUUUGAAACUAUCAAACUAGAGUGCAGGAGGGGUAAGCGGAAUUCCUAGUGUAGCGGUGAAAUGCGUAGAUAUUAGGAAGAACACCAGCGGCGAAGGCGGCUUACUGGACUGUAACUGACACUGAGGCUCGAAAGCGUGGGGAGCAAACAGGAUUAGAUACCCUGGUA
rnacentral:rRNA from 1 species